AGAAUCAACGCUGGCGGCGUGCCUAACACAUGCAAGUCGAACGAGAAAGUGGAGCAAUCCAUGAGUAAAGUGGCGCACGGGUGAGUAACACGUGACUAACCUACCCUUGAGUGGGGGAUAACCUCGGGAAACCGGGGCUAAUACCGCAUAACAUCGAGAGAUCAAAGGAGCAAUUCGCUUAAGGAGGGGGUCGCGGCUGAUUAGCUAGUUGGUGAGGUAAUGGCUCACCAAGGCUAUGAUCAGUAUCCGGCCUGAGAGGGCGCACGGACACACUGGAACUGAAACACGGUCCAGACUCCUACGGGAGGCAGCAGUGGGGAAUUUUGCGCAAUGGGGGAAACCCUGACGCAGCAACGCCGCGUGGAGGAUGAAGUCCCUUGGGACGUAAACUCCCUUCGAUCGGGACGAUAAUGACGGUACCGGAAGAAGAAGCCCGGCUAACUUCGUGCCAGCAGCCGC
rnacentral:rRNA from 1 species